AACGAACGCUGGCGGCAUGCCUAACACAUGCAAGUCGAACGAGACCUUCGGGUCUAGUGGCGCACGGGUGCGUAACACGUGGGAAUCUGCCCUUUGCUUCGGAAUAACAGUUAGAAAUGACUGCUAAUACCGGAUGAUGUCGAAAGACCAAAGAUUUAUCGGCAAAGGAUGAGCCCGCGUAGGAUUAGGUAGUUGGUGGGGUAAAGGCCUACCAAGCCGACGAUCCUUAGCUGGUCUGAGAGGAUGAUCAGCCACACUGGGACUGAGACACGGCCCAGACUCCUACGGGAGGCAGCAGUGGGGAAUAUUGGACAAUGGGCGAAAGCCUGAUCCAGCAAUGCCGCGCGAGUGAUGAAGGCCUUAGGGUUGUAAAGCUCUUUUACCAGGGAUGAUAAUGACAGUACCUGGAGAAUAAGCGCCGGCUAACUCCGUG
rnacentral:rRNA from 1 species